rnacentral:pre_miRNA from 1 species
GAUUUCAACUGAAAAAAAUCAUCAAUAACAAAGUGGUAUAACUCAUCAAGAUCUAUAACUUUUAUUUGGGUCAUUUCUUCAUCCGAUAAAGUGAUUUGUAACAUUGUUCACACAAAUGUAUAUAUCUCUUAUAUAGUUUACAAACUAUUGGAGAGACAUGUAAAUUUUAUGAACAAUGUUACUAUUACUUUGUCGGAUGAAGAAAUGACUAAAAUAAAAGUUAUAGAUAUUGAUGAGUUAUACAACUUUGUUGUUGAUAACUUUUUCAGUUGAAAUC